rnacentral:rRNA from 1 species
CAGCCGCCGCGGUAAUACGAAGGGUGCAAGCGUUAAUCGGAAUUACUGGGCGUAAAGCGUGCGUAGGCGGUGAGUUAAGUCUGCUGUGAAAUCCCCGGGCUCAACCUGGGAAUGGCAGUGGAUACUGGCUCGCUAGAGUGUGUCAGAGGAUGGUGGAAUUCCCGGUGUAGCGGUGAAAUGCGUAGAGAUCGGGAGGAACAUCAGUGGCGAAGGCGGCCAUCUGGGACAACACUGACGCUGAGGCUCGAAGGCCAGGGUAGCGAAAGGGAUUAGAUACCCCGGUAGUCCCUGUCUCUUAUAC